ACAAAAAAUUAAUCAUCAGUUAAAUGUUAAGGUUCAAGUCUCGUUUAUAGCAAAAUGUAUACAUUUAUAAGUAUAUAUGUUAGAUGGUUCUAAUUUCUUUUAGAUAUUUAUUGAAUAUGAUAGAUUUUAGACAAAAUUACAUAAGUGGUCCUUGAGGUUGAUCCAAUUGACCAACUUUGGCUCUUAUGACAAAUUUUAUGUGUAGAUAGUUCAUAUGGUUUUAAAAUCUUGCAAAGAUAUUCCUUUUGACUAAAGAUGUUAGCUUUUUCAAUUAAGUUCAUUGUGAAAUGAUCUAUUUGCCAUUCAUUCCAUACGGACCAUUUAUGUAAUUUGUUCUAUCCAUAGGGACCGUUUAUGUAACUUUCUCUAUUAUUUUUUUAUUUAAUUUAUUUAUAUUCUAUGAUUUAGAAUUUUCUUAACGUUUUGUUUGAAUAUAUUCUUGAUUUUUUUUUAAAAAAUCACUUGCAUUUUUUGAUUUUGGUUCGUGUAAUUUUUUGACAAAAUUGCAAAAAUAGUCCCUGUGGUAUGUAUUUUUUUGGGGUUUUAAUCCAAACAGUGACUUUUUUGGAUUAGUGGUCAUUUUGAGAUAGUUUGUAUGUGAAAAUAGUCCCUCCAAAAAUUGAAAUGACUAUAAUACCCUUGGGGUAUUUAUUUUUCAUUUUUCUUUCAUUUUUAUAAAUUAAAUAUUUAUUUAUUUACUUUAACAAUUAAAAAAUAAUGGAGGACCCACCUCUCUCUCUCUCUCUCUUCUCUUUUUCUCUCUCUCUCUCUCUCUCUCUCUCUCUCAUCCCGAGCUAUCACUUCAUCACACACACACACACAAACAGACGAACCUUCCCUCUUCUUUCAAUAUCCACCCUUCUCCCCUGAUUUGUUAUUUUUUUUUAAAUUACACUUCGUCAAUUCAUCAAUUCCCCUAGAUUCGAUUCGAUCUUCGAGGAUGGAAUGAUCAGUUUUUCGGAAAAAACAUUCAUUCUAUUUUCACCAUUCUUGUUCAUCAAAAAGUCGAUUUACCCACCUGUUAUCUCUCCAUACUUCUCCCUUCCUCUAAUUUUGAUGGGGGAAUUGAUUAAUGGGUUGUUCUUGAUUUUGGUUUGGUGUUGGUUACAUGUUUUAAUUUUUAUCUGGGAUGAGUUCAGGGGGGAGAUAAUGAUGGUGAAGAAGAAUAGGUAGGAGGGAAGAGGAAGUUGAUGAGUCGAGAUUAGGGGAGGAACCAAAAGACACACACAUACAUGGAUUUCUGGUGUAACUAGGGAACCUUCAUCCUUGCUCAAAACUGAUGAAGAUGAAACCUUCAUCCCUAUUCAAAAACCAUUACAGGACGUCAACUAAAUCAAAGAUUAAGGUUUCUUGCUCUAAAACCCUUAGAGAACCUGCAACUAAAUCAAAGGUUUGACAUUUAAAAAUAAACCCAUAUUUCAACGGUUUCAUUGUGUGUGCCCUGAAUUAAAAAGAAAUCUGGAAUUCAUAUGGGUUCUUGAAGAAAUAAACUUGAACGGAAUCAAAAUAGAAGUAUGAAAUAAAACUAAAAACUUGAUUGAAAACAAAAUCAGAGUUGUUCCAUGGGUUUUUGGUUCUGGUUAGAGGGAGAACCAAAAUCGAAAUCGACACCAUAAACAAAAUCAAACCCAAAUAAAGAUCAGUGUGUGUGUCUCUUCCCCAUGGUGUUUGUGAUCAAUGGUGACAAGGGAUGAUUACCUCGGUGCAUGUUUUUGUUGUGGGGUUUUCAGUGGUGCAGCGUCGGUGGUUGAAGAAGGAAGCUUGGGUUCAACAUUCUUGAUGUAUGGAUGAUGGUGGCUAAAAGGAAGAUGAUGAAUGUCGAUGAUCUGAAGUGUGUGUGUUUGCUUGAGAGAGAGAGAGAGAGAGAGAGGGGUCCUCCAUUAUUUUUUAAUUGUUAAAAUAAAUAAAUAAAUAUUUAAUUUAAAAAAAAUGAAAGAAAAUGAAAAAUAAAUACCCCAAGGGUAUUAUAGUCAUUUCAAUUUUCGGAGGGAUUAUUUUCACAUACAAACUACCUCAAAAGGACCACCAAUCCAAAAAAAAUCAUUGUUUGGAUUAAAACCCCAAAAAAUGCAUACCACAAGGACCAUUUUUGCAAUUUUGUCUAAUUUUUUUAAAUUCUUUUUUGACAUUUUAUUCAAAUACAUUUAUGACAAAACUUCAAAAAUGAUCACUGUGGUUUUCAAAAAUAUCAAGUUUAGUCCCUAAUUUCAAUGUGAUUAAUAUUAAAUAUCUGGUCAGUAGUGGAACCUUGUCAUAUCAUCAUCUUGUUAAUUGUUUGGUCAUGUAUGCUAAAAAAUCAAAUUACAAAAAGAUGAUGAAGGUAUCCAAAGAAACAAGGAAGCAGGAUCGAAGAUGGAAAUUUGCAUUUUACUAGCUAAAUGUACAACCUUUAAUAUAAGUUCUCAAGCAAUUAUUGCAUCAUGGAGUGCAGUUGAUGCAGAUGAAAGGAAGAACAAUAUGUUGCUUUCUUCGGUGCUACGGGAUUGAAUUCAAAACCCGAUCAUAUAACCUACAAUCCUACACUAUAUAUGAACAUGAAAUUACUAAGGAAAGCUUUUGUUACACAGGACAAAACUGAUGACAGGACAACAUCUCUAAGACUAUUCUCAAAGAGAAUUGGGAGUGGGGAGGGGAAGAAAAUUGAUCCAGGUCUUAUGCAUUCCAAAUGCAGGUACAUUCCUACAUAAUAAAGGAGGCUUAAAAGAGAAGAAAAGUGAUACCGAAGAUGCAUAUGAGGAACUAAUCUUGGAAGAACUACAGAAAACACAUACUUAACUACUUGAAAAAUAGCCAAGGUAUGCAACUUAAAUGAAUCCCAGACCAUAAAUUUCCCAAGCCACCAUUUGCAAAAGUGUGCUUCACCUGCAAAAAGAAAAAAAAAAUGAAAAAUGAAAACGACAUCGUUUUGGACGUUGUUGACUGUGGAAAGUGAAAUCAUCUGUGAUUUAAAAAAAAUGUAUUAUCAUGUCAUGUUGACUGCGAAAUUCAAAGACGAUACUGUGAAAAUCAUAACCUAUGGUAUGAAAAUUUGCACAUUGUAGAGGAUGUUAUCUUAUAAGAGAUUGCUUUGUAAAAAAGAGUUAUCAGAACCAAUUGUCUGCAUUUUUUAGCACAAUUUUCACUAUAUUCUUUCUUCUGAUUUCCUUAGCAAUUUUCCACCUUACCCUAUUGCUCUUGUCGAGAUAACAUGAGUUCAAACAUUGUACAUGACUAAUUGUUAUUUUUGUUGGUGGUCGAUGGCAGUUAGAAACAACAUGUUUAUACAAUGCAACAAAUCAAUAUGUUGUUGGUGGGUACUGAUCUAGCAGCAGAAGAGGGACCGGUAGUAAAAGAUGGAAAAAGUUUUGCUAAGAACAGAUACAUAGAAGAGGUAGCAACAAUCAAAUAGGUAUCUGUAUCUCUCUAAAUGAUUCUCACGAUGUUGGUGGAUAUGUUGCGUUCCAAUAACAACUCAAUUCACAAGUAGUUUCUGAAACCCAAUACACGUAUCGACAAAUUCAAUAUGUCGAUCCCAAAAGAUAUUCUGUACCAUAUCAAACACUAAUACCACCAUAUCAAACGUCGGUAACACCAUUUGAAACGCCGAUUGUAUAAUAUCAAAUGCCAAUUAUACAAUACAACCUAUUUUUCCAUUCUAAAAAGUGGGCCGAAAGGAGAGGAAAGUGGUAUUGAAGAUGCAUAUAUAUAUAUAUAUAUAUANCAAGACCAGCUAAGAGUAAACGUAAAUAAGAAUAAAAGGCAAAUACAAGUAGAAAGAAGUAUAUUGAAUCAAAUUGUAUCUGAAUUGAAAGCAACAAAAAGGUGUAUCAAGAUGUUAAACCCAUGAAAUCUCAAACCCAUUGAAAAUCUUUUGUGUAUGCUUGACGGCUUUGAGUUAUGUUAUUAUUUAUUCCAUAUCUUGAUGUGUCUGAGCAUGUUGAUGUUGUAAUUUGAUAACUUUGCAUCAGUUCUGUACUCUUCUCUUUGCGUAACCAUUCUAUUUCAGCUUCCCUUUGGAUUUCACUUGCUGAGCUGAUUUAAGUUCCACCUUCUAAUAUUCUUCAAAUGUUACCUCUUUCUAAACCCCUCAUAAGAAAUGUUCAUGCACAAACUCCCACCUAUUCAAUAAAUCUUGCUAAAUCCCUGAAUCAAAUCACAGAAACCAAUAAAAGAUGAACGUGUAAGAAACUAAACAACACCAAAAACCACAGCAACCAUGCAUGUAGGGUGUUGUUUAUCAUUCAUAAUAACAUAACCAGGACCAAAACUUUCCCCCUUUAGUCAACCGUCUUCGUCCUUUGCAUGAUGAAAGAAAAAAGAAAAUUUACAAAGAGAAGAAUAGAUAAUAAGUGGGUACCUGAUUCUUACUGAACUAUUUGAAAAAUAGACAAAGAUAUGUAACCUAAAUGAGACCUUGUAUUUACAAUUAACUAUUGUUGUUGAUGAUCAAGACAAACCGAGAGUAAAAUCACACAAACCAGUUGUUCUUACUUUAUGUUCAAAAGAGCAGGGACAAAAUAUUAAUCAAUACCUAAACUUUACCCCUUCACCCAAUCAUCUUCUUCCUUAACAUGAAAAACAAGAACAUCUAGAAAAAAAAAAUGGAUAAUGAGUUGAUUACCUGAUUCUUUGUUGGAGCCAUGAAGAUGAAAAUAUCAAUCAAGACCUAACCUUUCCCCCUUCACCNUAUAAAAAAAAAAAAAAAAAAAAAAAAAAAAAAAAAAAAAAAAAAAAAAAGAGGAAAUAGAUAAUGAACCUGAUUCUUAGUUGGAGCCAUGAAGAUGAUAAGUGAUCAAUGCUGCAGCAGAUUGGUGCAAGAGAAGUGACAGGUCAAGAGCACAAUAGCAUACAAAUAUAGUCUAAUCUAAUAACUAGAUAUUAUAUAAAAAUACUGAAUGAUAAAUAUAACAAACAUUUUAAAAUUGAAACCUUUAAACAACAUCCACAUUACAAACAUAGAUCCAAAUAGUAGCAUUAAAACAAAAACUUCAUUCAUAACAUAUAUCCGAGAAUUACUUGCAUUGCAGAGCGCCUAUACAGCUUCUCUUCCUCUCUUGAUCUUGGCAACAACUGUUACCAUGACUGCAACGUAUAUCUUGUCCAUGAUUUUCUCAACAAACAUGAAAAGCCUCCAUCUCCACUGCUUCUUGAACAAGAGAACUCCAAUUACACCCCAAAACCCUGUUGCAAAUCCACUCAUGAUGUCCAGGUAAAACCACCAUACCUUGAUCGACUCCUCAGCUGCUUUAUGUUUCUUCUUGGGCUUUGCUGUUGUUGUUGGGUCUUGAUGAUCUGAGCAAUUGUUUGUCAAUGGAGGUCCACAAAGAUCUCUGUUCCCACCAUAUAUUGAUGGAUCAUCAAUAAGGGUCUGCAAUUGAUGGCCUGUUGGAAUUCUUCCCCACAAGUUGUUGUGUGACAAAUUCAAAUGACUCAAAAAAGUCAAAUCUGCCAUGCUUGGAGGGAUCAUCCCGGUUAACUCAUUGUUUGAGAAAUCUAGAGAAAAUAAUGCCGUCAAGUUUCCAAUGGUGUCUGGAAUAUUCCCACUGAGAUGAUUAUUAGACAAAUUGAGACCCACCAACAUAGAAAGUGCAGUUAUCUCUAUAGGUAUUUUUCCUACAAGUUUAUUGCUUGAAAGGUCCAUGUUAUAAACUAUAUCCAAAAUUCUUGUAUAUUCAAGAUCAACACCUUUCAUAACCUGAAUCACAUUCUCAUUAGAAUCACCCCAGCCAUAAUUGUAAUACCACUUUUCUGCACCAUUAACCAUUGCUUUCAACUCUCUUAGGCAAUGAGGGAUGAUACCCGUUAAGUUGUUGUAUGCAACAUCCAAAAUUUGAAGAUUUGACAUUUUGCAUAAAGAUUCAGGAAUUUCCCCGGUAAAGUUAUUCUUGUGUAAUCUUAAAACAAUCAAACUUGUCAGGUUUUCUCCAAUCCAGUGGGGUAUCUUUCCAAACAAUUGAUUAUCACCCACAUCUAGGACUUUUAAAUCUCUUAAAUUCCCCAACUCUGGAGGAAGUUCACCAAUGAAGUUAUUGUCAUCCAAUUUUAACCAAUUCAAUGAUGAAAGAUUAAGACCUAUAUAGCUUGGAAUGACACCUGAAAGUAAAUUUGAGCUAAAGAUCAUGGCACCCAACCAUUCCAGAUUCUGGAGACACUUGGGAAUUGUCCCUGUUAACCUAUUUCUGGAAAGAUCAAGUAAUUCCAAAUCUGUCCAUCUGCACAAGGACUUCGGAAUUGACUCAUUGAAAAUGUUAUUUGCUAGUAUCAAUACCCAUCGUAUUUCUGGAAGGUUUGUCAAUGGUCCGCUGAGUUUGUUGUGAGAGAGAUCUAAGAAAUCAAUGACAGGCAUCUUCCGCAACCAUCUGGGCAGAGGUCCCGAAAUUGAAGCAUUCGACAACACUAACUCAGAGAGCAAGAACUGAUUCCGUAGCCACUGUGGCAAUCCAUUUGUGAGAUUGCAGGAACUGAGAUCAAGAUGAUACAACUGGAAUGGAGGCAUCCACUUAUGUGAAAAAUUGCAUGUCAGCUUAGAAUUAGAUGAAGCAUUCAAGUACCUCAACAUGGAAAGGUUAGCAAAAUGGGCUUCGGAAACUACUCCUUGUAAGGAAUUGUCUGAGAUAUCUAACUCAUUGAGUUUGGCAAGUUGCCCAAUUGAAACCGGAAUAGUCCCAUUUAACAAAUUUGAAGACAACCGAAUUGCUUGUAAUGAAACAACUCUUCCUAGAGAUGUUGGGAUGGGGCCCGUUAAGUGAUUGGAUUGUAGAUACAAAGAUUCUAAAGCUGCAAGAUUUCCAAAGGAUUCUGGAAUUGAACCAUUCAAUUGGUUAUCAUGUAGAUCUAAUACCUCUAAGAAUCUUAAUCUUCCUAGAGAUUCGGGGAUUGGACCUGUCAAACUGCUCAUUGAUAGAUCUAAGUGUCUUAAAUUGGUUAGUCUUCCAAAUGCUUCUGGAAUCGUACCAUUCAAACACCCACUUAAAUCCAACCGCUCCAAAGCAUAUUGGGAGCAUUCUGAAACGUUUUGCGGUGGGUCAAUCCUUUCUAUUUCAAAAGGAUUUCCAUAUGCAGCCAAUGUUUUCAGGUGACACUGUCUCCAGAUUCCAACAUCCUCAAUAUUCUUAAACUGGUUAACAGAAAGAUCAAGCUCUAGAAGGUUAGCCAUAAUAGGAACCGAAGAAUGCAGCAUGUUUCUUGAGAGAUCAAGGACUCUUAAGGAACUCAUGUUACUGAAAACAGAUGGAAAUAUGCCUUCAAUUGAAUUCCAGCUAAGAUCCAGGUGUUGGAUGUUAGAAAGCAUACAAAGUGACAAAUGCAGCUCUGAUAAAGAAGGGAUCAUGUUUAGCACGUUUGCAAAGUUCCAUGCCAAACUAAGAUUAAAUUUAGAAAGAUCGAGGAAUGCUAGGGAUGUCAUGUUUCGGAAAAAUCCAGGGAGUGGGCCUUUGAAAGAAUUGAAGCCAAGAUCAAGGUGUUUGAUGUUGGGAAGUAUUCUACUCGAAUUAAGAAAAGGACCAAGAUGGGCAUUGGAAAGUCCACAACCAUGCAAACUUAACUCUUUUAACGAAGGAAGAUUGUAAAGCACCAUGCCCAUGUUCUUUGCUCCGCCAAGAUCCACCCAACUCAAGUCGAGAUGCUCGAGUGAUGAAAGGCCAAAAGUCCAUGACAUAUCAUCAUUCCAACUGAGAUCCAAAACCUUUAAAUUAGAAAGAUUUCCAACGUGAGGAGGAAUAAUACCUUGAAAACCAGCAUAAGAGAGAUUGAGAUAUCUCAGCUCUUUGAAGGAACCAAUGAACUCAGGGAACCGGCUUCCUCUAAUAUAAUUCCAACUCAAGUCCAGGUACUUGAGAUGCCUCAACUCAGCCAAAGAAGAGUUCACCUCAUUACCAACUAAGUAGCCUUCUCCUUCACUGUCAGAAGGGUCUCCUCCGAGAUUGAGGCUGUCAACGGUUCCAGUGAGACUGUCACAGUGGAUUCUUUCCCACUGGCAACAAUCCUUACCCACCCAUGAAGACAUCAUUCCAGAAGUAUCUUCAACACUCCCUUUGAACCUGAGAAGAGCAAGUCGUUCUUUCUGGGAGCAAACAACAGUGACAUUUCCAACACCCAAACAAGUAUAUUUCGUUGCAAACAAAAAAACACAUAUGAAAAUGAGAUUGAGCCCCAAACCCCACGGAUUCCCCAUUUAUCAACCCUCCCUAACUCAGUUUAAUUUAGAAGAAAGUUGAAGUGGAAAGAUAGUUUGUUAUGAUGAAGUGAUAGAUUAUUAUGAAGAAGAAACCAGUUCAUUUAUAAUGCCACAAAUGAAGAACAACUUAAUGCCAUGGAAGACUUCAAGUCAAUGGACAUUUGUCUCCACAAGUUGUGUUUUUGUGGUCCAAGUCUGUUCCCCAUGUCAGAUGCAAUUGCAUAUGGAAACAAUUCUUUAAAAAAUUAUAAAUAAAAUGAAGCACAAUAAUUGACAAACAAGCAUUUAGAUUUUUAAGAAAUCCAAGAUAAAUUAUAACCUUUUGUAAAUAGUAGGUGUAAAUCAAUAUAAACUUAAUUUUGAUGUUCAAUCAUUUUACAAAACUAACUACAAGAAAAUAAGUUUUUUUGUUAUUAUUUGACUUGACAAGGCUGGUGUGACAAGCCUAGCUAAUUAAAAGAUACUUUCUUCUGUAACUCUAAAUUAAAGAUAUUAUAUUAUCUUUUAUAAAAAAAAUGUAGCCUUCUCAAAUGCAUUACGGUUUUAUUAGACAACCCAUUCACUUGAAAAUAGAUAUUUGUUUUAUUAAUAAUAAAAAAACCUAUUUUCAUAAUAAUAAAAAUAGUAUAUAAAGAGAUGUUGCGGAGAAUAAAAAGGAAGUGGUGGGGGUUGGUGGAUUUGUGGGACCCAAUGUUUUAAUAAUAACAAAAAUAAGGUAUAAAAAAGUAAUUAAAAAAUAAAAAAUCUAGGAAGGGCAAAAUAGUCUUUUAGGUCAGUUAGGGACGAAAACUGUAACAAAACAAUAUCACAUGGACGAUUUGUUUAAUUUACUCUAGGUUUUUGCUUUUAAAUUUGAUACCAAUAUUGCUACAAAUGAUUAUGGCUUUUAGCGAAUUGGUGUUAUUGAAUUGGAACACUUUUGAUUAGAGUCUAAUGUCCCAUGGCACACAUAAAUGCAUUUGGCCAAAAGUCUUCCACACAAAGACUUUGAAGUCAACAAAGUAACACUCACACACAAAAAAGGGGGCCAUGAUUGAUGCAACUUUCUUGUGGAAUUUUUCCAUGCAACUUCUCCCCAUCAAAUGUAUUCCUCUUUGCUAUUAUUCCAUGAAAAUUUACAAAGUUCAGGAAAAACGUCUUAUCCACUUUAACUAGAAAGAAUUUGCAAACAAAACUGACCCAUGACAUGGAAUGGAGGAUAAUAACCGAGAUCAUGAAGAGACAUGUUGUUCCAGGUAGAUGCACUAAAAAUGACCUAAAGAAACAAAAUAUAAAGAAGCAAAAUAGCCAGGUUAGUCAUGAAACCAUACAUAAAAAAAUUUAAUACAUAAGAGCUUUUUAAUGUUUCCUGUUAAACCAACAUGAAUAUAGAAGAGCUUUUUAUUUUAUUUUAUUUUCGUUUUCUGUGGAUCAAAAUAAGUGGGUUUUGGCAAAGUUUAUUCCGAAUGGCAGAAGCAAAUGUAUUUGACAACAAAUCUAUAAAAUAAAUGAAUUGAAUAUUUGGUAAGAUUACUAUUCAAUUAGAAGUCACUACACAAGACUUGGAAGUCUAUAGACAGUUUUAGCCACAAACUGGUAUGCUCUGGAUCUGGACUGUAUAUUUUUUUUCUAUGCCCCAAGGAACACACAAAUGUAUUUGGCCACAAGUAUUUUUCACAAAAGAAAUUUCAGUCAACAAAGUAAACCCCCCAAAUAAAUAACAUGGACAAAAGAAAAUAGUGACAUGAUUGAUGCACCAAGAAUCUUUUCUUAUGGAAUUUUCCAUACAACUUCUCCCUAACAAAUAUAUUCCACUUUUAUUGUUAUUCCAUGGAAAACAAAACUAGUAUCAGGAAUUCAGGAAUGAAUAAUCAGUCUAACAAACAGUGGCAUGAAGUAACUAUAUUCAGCUCAACUUAAUUUAAUAUUAUCAAUUCUUACGACAAGUUCAAAUGUUGUUAUGUUGAAGAAACCACUUCAUUUAUAAUGCCAUCAAUGAAGAACAACUAAUUUCCAUGCCAUGGAAGACUUGAAGUCAACGGACAUUUGUAUGCACAAGUUGACUUUUUGUGGUCCCCAUGGUAGACAGCUAGACACAAUUGUAUAUGGCAACAAUUCUUUUAAAAAAUAUAAAAUAAAUGACAAACAAGCAUUUAGAUUUUCAAGAAGUAUAGGAUAAUUUAUAAUAUUUUGUAAAUACUAGUUAUAAAUUAUAAACUUGAUUUUGAUGUUCAAUCAUUUUACAAAACUAACUUCAAGAAAAUAAGUUUUUUUGUUAUUAUUUGACUCGACAAGGUUGAUGUGUCAAGCUUAAUUAAAAGAUACAUUAUGUAACUCCACAUUAAAGAUAUUAUAUAUUUUUUUAUAAAAGAUGUAUUUUCUCAAAUGCAUUACGAUUUCAUUAGACAUAACAAUUUCAACCCAAUUAAUUGAAAAAUAGGUAUUUGUUAUAUUAAUAAUAAAAAUACCUAUUUUCAUAAUAAUAUAAAUAGAUAUAUAAAGAGAUGUUGAGGAGAUAAAAACGGGGUGGGGUGGGGGUUGAGGAAUUUAUGGGACCCAAUGUUUUAAUAAUAAAAAAAUAAAGUACAAAAAAUAAUUAAAGAUAUAAAAAAUCUAGUAAGGGAAAAAAUGUAUUUUUAGGUCUGUUAGGGAUAAAAAUCAUAACAAAACAAUACCAAAUGCAUGGUCCGAAUUGAGAAAUAAUAAUAUUAAAUAAGGGACCAAGCAUACAUAUUACCUUAAACCACAGGGACCAUUCAUGCAAUUUACUCUAGUUUUUUUCUUUUAAAUUUGAUACCAAUGUUUUUACAAUUGUUUUUGGCUUUUAACAAAUUGAUGGUAGUGAAUUGGAACACCAUUGAGGAAUUGUCUAUGGCCCAUGGCAUACGUCAAUGCAUUUGGCAAAAAAAGUCUUCCAAACAACAAAGCAAACCCACUAAUCACACACACACACACAAAAAAAAAGAAAAAAAAAAAGGACAUGAUUGAUGCACUAAGUAAGCAUCUUUCUUGUGGAAUUUUCCAUGAAACUUCUCCCUAUCAAAUGUAUUCAUCUUUAAUAUAAUUAUAAGUAUCUUUUAAAUCUAAAAUAAAUUACAAUCAUAUUUUAACCUAAAAUAUCUUUAAUAUAACUACUUUUAAAGAUUAAUGAAAUUAUAUACCAAUAGUUUUUAAGUAAAUACACGAAUGGUCUCUAUGAUUUCAGGUAAUUAGCGUGUAUUGUCCUUUAACCGUUUUUUUAAACUUGGAUGGUCCCUAUGGUUUGGUUUUGUUUCGGGUUUGGUACCCAACAAACUUAAUAUGACUAUCUUGCGCUUAAUAAUAUUUUUCUAUAAUUUUUUAGUUCAUUUUUUAUUAUUAUGUUAUUAUUAAAUAGAGUAAAUUAUUAAUGUCUAAAAUGAUACUUCACCAAACACCAGAUGCUGCCCUUGAAACCACCUCCCCCACCAUUGCAAAAGAUUGAAGGAUCCAGCCUCACACCAUUUUCCCCUCUGUUACAGACAAAAAACAACAUCAUCAUCCAUUCCUGAUGAAAAUCAAAUUCAUACCAAGUUCACUCGAUCAGAUAUAUAAUCUCAACUCUCGUAAAAAUGUUAAAAAAAAGAAACGAAAGAAGAAAUGCACAUAAACCAUCAGUGCAGAAGUUAACUGGAAGCACAAGUUUGGGGACACUAGAAACCAUAUCAUGUACAUCAUGAUCUUGCGCAUGUGUAAGCUUUGACAGCAUGCAGUGCCUACUGAAAAAGGUUUAUUUACUAAUACGAUAAUUAUGGUAUCAUGUACAAAACCUAAUCUGAUUAUAUUGGGAGCAAUUACGUGUACACACAUACAUAUAUAAUAUUUGGCCUGGUAAAACUGUACACACAUAAAUAAAUAAAAAUUCAUUUGUAGGAACUGCUUUCAUAGCAUAUGAAGAAGAACCGGUUCCUAAUAUAGCAGCAAUAUGAAAACAUGUUUUUUUUUUUCAAUUUUCUCACAGUAAAACAAAAGCAAGAGAAAAUAGAGGCUUUUCACGAGCACAGGUCAACAUAGGACUAUAGUCUAUAGGUGAUUCGUUGAUACAAUAAAAAAAUACAAACACUUUUAAGUAUCAAAGGAUCUACUGAGAAGCAGAGGUUUAAUUGAGCUUGAAGCAUUUCCUCCCUUAAACAGGUAAUUACAGAUUACGUGGUGACAUUAUAUCUACCAUUAGGAGCUGCAAGUGUGUUGCAAAACAGAGGCUAUCACCAUCUGCUUAUAUGCAUCAUUACCUUCUCUGUGUUACAGGUCCCAAUUUGUGAGACAAUUAGGUCAGACAGAAUCAUAAAAUCGUAGAUGGAUCAUUUUCCCAGUAUACACCAAUGAAAUUGGAUUAGCAUAUAUGCAUCGUUUUCAACAGCCCUUAAUUACUAUCUUUUUUAUCUUACAGGUCCCAAUUUGUGUGCUUUGUAGCAUUUUCUCAUUUUUCUUAAAAAACAAAUACAGCAAAGUUCAUAAAGUAUAGAAAAUUAGGCCUAAGAAAAAUAGAAAAUCGGAAAACAUACCAAGUGAACACCAUAUGAAUCGGCAGUUUAGGCUUCGCCUUUCCCCGUUCUCGUCUACUUCCCAGUGACGAUAGUUUUGAGAGGACCGGAAAUUUGGGGGAAAGUUUGUUACGAGUAAAUUACAAAUUUGGUCCCUUAGGUUUUGUUUUGUUACAGAUAUAAUCUAUUUAGUAAAAUCUAGGAUAAAUUACGAAUUUUGUACUUUUUGUAUUAUGUCAAAACCUAUGAUUUUUAUCUUUAUUUCUUCGAUCAGACUAUUCAUGUGUAAUGUCCUCAAAAAUAGGUCAAGCAAAUAGAAGCGAGUUAAAGUGUUUAAAGGAAGAAGAAGUGAUGUUGUGUUACUAUGAAAAAAAAAAUGAUGUCUUUAUAAAUACUAGUUGUGGGACCCAUGUAUUAUAUGGGUUGAUUUUUAUUUUUUUUUAAAAUAAAUAUAAAAAUCAAAAUAUUUGAGAACUUUGAAUUUAUAAGAAAAAUAAUGAAUUAUUAUAAUUGAAAUAUUUUUUAUCUUUUAAAUUUAAACAAGUAAUUUAAAUAAAUAAACAAAAGAAGUUAAUAAAGCUUUAAUCUUGGAAUUUUGAAAUUAAAAGGUAAGUUUUAUUAAUGAAAAUUUUCCACAAAAAAGAGGCCAUGAUUGAUGCACUAAAUAAGCAUCUUUCUUGUGGAAUUUUUCCAUGCAACUUCUCCCUAUCAAAUGUAUUCCUCUUUGCUAUUAUUCCAUGAAAAAUUACAAAAGUUGAGGAAAAACGUCUUAUCCUUUGAAGUUUGAAUUAGACAGAAUUUGGCAACAAAACUGAUCCGUGACAUGGAAUGGAGGAUAAUACCCAGGAAGAUGCACUAAAAAUGACCUAAAGAAACAAAAUAUAAAGAAGCAAAAUAGCCAGGAUAAUCAUGAAACCAUACAUAAAAAAAUAUAACACAUAAUUAAUACAUAAGAAAUUUUUAAUGUUUCCUAGGUUAAACCAACAUAAAUAUAAUAAGGGAUUAGUGCAAAAACCAACGCACUUUUAUUUAUUUAUAUAUUAAAGCAUCAUAACCCAUAAGAUAAUGAAUAUAGAAGAGCUUUUUAUUUUAUUUUUUUCAUUUUCUGUGGAUCAAAAUAAGUUUGUUUAUGGCCAAAGUCUAUUCCCCAAGGCAGAAGCAAGUGUAUUUGACAAGAAAUCUAUAAAAAAAAUGAAUUGAAUAUUUGGUAAGAUUACUAUUCAGUUAGAAGUCACUACACAAGACUUGGAAGUCUAUGGACAGUUUGUUUGUAGCCACAAACUGUAUAAAAAAAAAUGAAUUGUAUAUUUUUCACAAAAGAAAUUUGAGUCAACAAAAUAAACCUCCAAAUAACACGGACACAGAAAAAUAAUGCCAUGAUUGAUGCACCAAAAAUCUUCCUUAUGGAAUUUUCCAUGCAACUUCUCCCUAAAAAAUAUAUUCCUUUUUUAUUGUUAUUCCAUGGAAAACAAAACUAGUAUCAGGAAUUCAGGAAUGAAUAAUCAGUCUAACAAACAGUGGCAUGAAGUAACUAUAUUCAGGUUAACUUAAUUUAAUUAAUAUUAUCAAUUCUUAUAUAUGAUAAGUUCAAAUGUUAAUUAACAUAUUCCAUAACUGAUAUUUUGUAAUUUUUACAUAUGUACUAUCAUAGAAACAUCACAGAUUUAAUCUAAUGAAUGAGAAAGAGUGUAAAACAAAAAACAAUGUCUUUAUCAAUGCCAUAAAUCAUGAAGAUUUUAUUUUCAUUUCCUAAAAUAUCACUUCUCAAACAACUUCUGCUUAACCCUCAACUUUCAUUUUACCCUCAGUUGGUCCUCUAAGUUGCACUUCUUCAUGAAAUUAAAUACAGUAUGAUUUUGAGGGACAAUUCCAACCCAUUUAUAGGUAAAUGGACAGUCAUUAAAUGUUUAUUAAAAUUUAAAAGAUUAAUAUUUUACUUUUUUUAGAUUAAUUUAUAACAGCUUUCCUGAAAUUUUUACUUUUUACUAACUAAAAUAGGAUAUCCAUAUAUAAAGAUUUCCCUUUAUAAAACCCAUUAUUCAACCGAUGAAAAAAAAAACAAAAUACAAACAUUGAUUUUUCCUUCUAUUAAGUCGAUGAAAUAACAAUUCAACGGAAAAAACAAUAUCGCAAAUAUGCUUUAAGAUAAAUUUUCAUGAUUAUCAAUAAUAUCAAUUUAAAAGAAGCUUUGAAAUGGUGAAUCAAUAUUUGUUCAACUAAUUGUUAGAUACAUAUAAAAAAAAUUGAACUGGGCAUGUAACCUUUACACAUUAUUUGGUGCUCUCUCUUUAUUAGAACUAAUGCUGAUUUUUAUUAAAUGACAAUGUUGUUAUUUACCAAAUUUCAUUUCAUUUAAACGUCCAUAAAUACGAACUAAAAAACAUGUUGGAAUAGUUCAUUUCGAUCCUAUAGACCAAAGAAACAUGAUAGUGAAAUGAUAAUUAUCUAUCUUAUUGCCAUGUUCUUUAGAUUUCUAUGUUCAUUCAAUUAUUUGUGAUUCCACCCACGCCUAAUGCCCCAUAGAUCGUUUGAAUUGUAUAUGAACAACAAUCAAGUUUAGCUCAAAUGGUAAAAAGCACCUACCUGAGUUCCCUUUGUUGAAAAAUAGGAGAUAAAAAAUACCAACGAAAAACUAUAAGUUUUCAUUCAAUGACUUUAAAGUCAACAAAAAACUAUAAACUUGAUUUUGACAUAUAAAAGUUUUACAAAACUAACUUGAAGUUUUUGAUUAUUCAACUUUAACAGAUUAUGAGGAGACAUAAUCUCAUGUGGUAGAAGCAACUACUUUUUAAUAGGUUAUCAGUCUCACAAUAUAAGAAAUAUUGACUUGCAUAUGAUGGAUCUUGCUACUGCCUAUUUGUAGUUUUGUACUCCUCCCAUGAUACCAAUCUUUUAUAUAAACUUUUACCUCCCUCAAAAGAUUUAAACCACCAUAAACAAGUAAGAUGGGAUCUCAAGAACACUAUUUGAUCAAAUUAAACAAGUCAUUACAUAUUUUGUUGCUAAUCAUACAAGACUUGACUUUGGUUAAGACCCCUUUCAACCUUUUAAAGAUUCCAAGGAAAUUGGUGGUCCAAAGCACAUUUAAGUGUCAUUUAAACAAGUCAUUAAUAUAUCUUGCUAAUAAUAAGAUGAAUUAUUAAAAUCAUACAUAUACAUGUUAUCCUUUAGAAGAAUGAUAUAAUAGUUAAGUAUGUGAUCUUGGCAUCUUGCUAACAUAUAUCAUCAUUAAGUAAAUUAAAAAUUAAUAAAUAGAAAUUACAAUCUCAAUAUAUAUAUCAUCUAUCAUUUUCUUGAAAUUUUACCCAAUUCUAAAGGGAUUCCCGGGAUUUUGUUUCUGUUGCUGUUUUGUUGUGUAAUUGUUUAAAUCUUUGUUUUCUUCUAUUUUUUAAAAAACAUUACUGUAAUGAUUAUGAAACUUCAAGUGUUCCCAUAUCUUUGCUUUAGAAAUGUGUUCUUCAACUACAACAUCUCUUCAAAGUUAUAACCAGAUUUGACAGUUACCCAUGUUCUUUAUCUGAAAAGUAUUACAUCUGACUCGGAAUAAAUAAUUCUAUGUGGAAGAAGGUAUGUAAGACAAUGACUUUUGUAACUAUUAAUCUAUUAACUUAAAUACUUACACUUUGGUAUUUGGUAAUUUAUUUAAUUACUUAUUUAUGUUUUAUGAAUAUAUGUAAUUGAAGUAGAAAGUAAUUGUGGUCAACAAGAUUUUCUUCUAUGGUUACAGCACCAGUUAUUUUCAUGUUUAUUGUAGCAUUUGAGCAUCUAUUCGUUUAUCUCCAAAAAUCAAAUAAAUUCAUAUCAAUUUUACACUUGAUCGUUUGGUAUUCAAAAUCAAAGAAGAAGAACCAACUCUAUACCUAUGAUAUCAUCUGGCUAGAACAUGUCAAAAUAGAACCUAAUGUGAUAAUAUUGGAAGUAAGUACACACAUACAUGCUGGGUUUCCUCAUAACUAUUCCCCCAUCCUUGGAUAAACCAAAUAAAAUUAUACAUAAAUAAAUUGAUACAUCAUUUGUAAGAACUUUCAUGGAAUAUGAAGAAGAACCAAUUCUAUAAUUAUGCAGCAUUGCAAGAAAUGUUUUUUUUUUUCCAAUGCUGCAGCAACUAAUACUCUAGGGUUGAUGUGUACUGAUCAAAAUAAGUGAUUGGUUGGUUGAUAUAAUAUGAUACAAGCACUUGCGUAAGCACCAAAGGAUCUACUAAGAAGCAGGGGAGAUAAUUUAGUAUAAAGCAUUUGCUACAGAUUAUAUUUAGCAUUGGGAGCUGCAAGUGUGUUGCAGAACAAGGCCAUCAGGAUCAUUUGAAACAUAUAAAUAUAUAAAUGCAUCAUUUUUAAUGAUGCUAAAUUUCAAUCUUCUCUGUGUUAUGGGUCCCAACAUGUGAAAAUUAGGUCAAAUAGAAAAAAGAAGGAAAAAAAAACUUACGAGGUUAAUAUUGUCGACAACGACUGAGGAAUGAAGGAGAGGGAUGAAUCAACAAUUGAUGGCUUUGGAUUUUCCUUGUCCUCGCCUCUUCGCUGGUAGUGACGGAGGAUAGGGUAUGAGAACGCGAUCGUCGACGGAGGAAUAAACAAAAGGAGAUUUUGGGGGAAAUUGUGUGUGGGCCACGAGUCUUCUUGCUGUAAAAAAUAAAUUUUGGCUCAUUUGAAUUUUGCGUAUUUUGUGGUAAUAUUAAAUUUUAUUCGUUCAUCAUUUUUUAUGGUUUUUUAUAGACAAAACUGCACAAAUGGUCCCUGUGGUUUGUCAAAAAUUGUCACUUUGGUCCAAAAAAGUUUGGGCUAGCACCAGAGGUCCAAAGUUUUCAUUUUGUUGCUUGUUUGGUCCAAUCUAUUAUGAUUUUUUUCAAAAUGACGGAUUUGCCCCUGUUAAUAUGAUUUUUUUUCUUUGUUUCUUAAUUGUUUUUUUGAUUUUCAGAUUCAAAAAAAAUAAAAAUAAAAUUAAAUCUCUCUCUCCUCUCUUUCUCUCUAUUUCUUUCUCUCUCCUCUCUCCUCUAUCUCUUUCUUCAAUCUUCCUUCUCGUCACUCCUUUUUUCUUCGACUCCCAAAUACCAACUGUACCACCAAUUCCAAUAUCAGUCACAAACCGACGGCCGAACACCAUGGCUCCGUUCAACCCUGCAGUCUGGAAAUCAGACUGUUACUGUGCCCCGGCACAUGAUUCUCCGGCUAGGUGUUGCUGUGAUUCGGCACCGGCCCUACAACUUGAACGGAUCUUCACCUACUAUGUUGGGUACUAGGUUUACCAACUAUCUACAACUAACUGUAUACUCUGGCUAUGUACUGUUGUAGAAGAUUGAGUUGAUUUAGAGAGCCAAUUAAUGGAGGAAUUGGACCGGAGACUAAGCUAGACAUAAGGUCGAGCACCUGGAGUGCACCCGUCUUCUUCCUCAUGAACAUCAUCAUCUUCUUCCUCUCUUCAUAUUCCAACCAAUACCACCACCCAUCUCUGCCUCCGUCGAUAGUUGGGUGCUUUAGAACCCAAGAUUUGAGAUAAUUUGACACAAUGUUGUUGAGCCCUUGCUACUUGAAGUCGAUCAGAUCUAUCACCUUUCUUACUCUGCUUCCCUGUUAAUUACAAACACAAUCCAGUCAAUACAUUUAGAUUAGAGCACGCUUCUUGCUAAUAAGCACCAGUGAGGAGAUAAGUUGAAGAACGAGGGAGAUGGCGGUGAAGAUUGAUGUCGCUGCUAAAAUGAUAUUGGCGUUGAAGGUGGGUUUCAAUGAGAAAAGGGGUGGCAGAGCAGGAGGACCACGAUGGAGACGAUGGUGGUGGGAGCUAAGAGUUUUUUCUAGGUUUUUUCUUUGUAUGGUUUUCCCUAUUUGUUCUAAAUGAAGAUUCAGUAUUAAUUUAUGGUAAAAUUGAUUUUGAUUUUAUAAAAUCAAGAGAGAGAGAGAGAGAGAAAGAGAUAGAUGAGAGAGAGGGAGAGAGAGAGAGAAAGAGAUAGAUGAGAGAGAGAGGGAGAGAGAGAGAGAGAAAGAGAAAGAAAAGAGAGAGAGAGAGAGAGAGAGAGAUUUAAUUUUAUUUUUUUUUUAAUCUGAAAAUCAGAAAAACAAUUAAGAAAAAACCAAAAAAUCAUAUCGACAAGGGCAAAUCCGUCAUUUUGAAAAAAAAUCAUAAUAGAUUGGACCAAACAAGCAAUGAAAUGAAAACUUUUGACCUCUGGUGCUAGCCCAAACUUUUUUGGACCAAAGUGGCAAUUUUUGACAAACCACAAGGACCAUUUGUGCAGUUUUGUCUUUUUUAUAUUUUAUUAAAUUUCAUAGGAUAAUAAAUAGAUAUUAAUUUUAAUAAUUCACUUUCUAAAUUUAAAAUUUCUAAUUGGAGAAUUCAAUCAUAUUUUAAUGUCAUUAAAUUAGGAACAAAAUUAACGGAUGUUUUUGGUAAAUAUAAUUUCUAUAUCUUCCUCGUUAUAUUUGAUGCGACAUUAACCUCUGACGAUUCUUUUGGUCUUCUGCUGCUGCGGAGAUCUGCUAGUCACAAUCAGAGAGAUGCGUUAGAGUCGUCCCAGGGACUGUGCCUCGGGUGCGGACACCGAUGAUCAAGUUAGAUCAGCUGAUAGAUCUGAGAUGGUCCUAAAUAGCUGGAGAGAACCAUCUUGGUGCUGGUGGUGGUGUAUGGUGGCUGAUGGCGGCGGAUGGCGGUUGAGCCACCCGGCAUGUGUAUAGUGUGGCGGCUAAGCUAAGGGGAAGAUCCCCCUCCAUGGAGGAGGUACUGUUCAUUAUAUAGGGGACAAUUAGGUCAAGGGGAAUUAGGUCAGGCCUUGGGCCCGCCUAAUUCAGGCCCAACUAGCAAGGAGUUGGGCAAGGCCGCUCGGAGGCACCGGGCGGCGCUGGUGAGCGCGCACCAGGAAAGAUUGGCAAGGGGCACUAGGCAAAGGAGCAUCGGGCCGGGCCGGCAGGAGAGUCCCCAGCAUGGCUGGCAAGGGAGCACCAGGAAAGGCUGGCAAGGGGACACUAGGCAAGGCUGGCGGGAGCGCGCCAGGCCAAGCUGGCGCUUUAGAGUGGUCUAGGCCAUGCUAAUGUACCAUAUAUCAUCAAGUCCCCCCAGUCUGGUGUUAUUGGUACGCGGCCAAUGACAUCGGACUAGAACUAGUCAUAUAAACUAGCAGGAGAGUCCCCAGCGAGGCUGGCAAGGGAACGCCAGGCAUGGCUGGCAGGAGCGCGCCAGGCCAGGCCGGCGCAUAGAGCAGUCUGGGCCAUGGUAGUGGACCAUAUAUCAUCAAGUCCCCCCAGUCUGGUGUUAUUGGUACGCGGCCAAUGACAUCGGACUGGACUUAGUCAUAUAAACUGUGCGUCAUCAAGUCCCCCUAGUCUGAUGCGAUUGGGUUGCUGACAAUUGGAUCGGACUAGAUAAAGCACCAAUAUAUCAAAGAAUAGAGAGAACGUUCGAACCUUGCCCACGAGAGUCGUGGUGUUGCGUGAUGAGCCAAGCAUUACUUAUGUAGCCUUGACUAGAUACUCCUUCGUUGAGAGGAGUGCGAGGUUGCUAAAGAGUGUUACGCGACACUAAUGUCGAUAAAAUGUUUGGCCAGUGUAGCUAAGGAGUGUAAGCUCGCCAUACAGUCUCUAAGACCGUUAUUCGACACGAUUGUUGUGGUAUUCAUGCGCAUAUGGAGCUUAGCGUCCAACAAUCUAUGUGUCUGGCCCGGGUGAUCAGCUCGUGUUGAAGUGUAAUGGCGUCUAAUGCUUUGCUGUAUCACUAGUUUGGUGAUUGGUGCUUCGCUGUCUUGGCUAUCUGUCGAAGGCUAUGUAACGAUGCUACUUAGAGUUGUAUAAUGUAGUUGUUAUCGAGUGGUGCACAGCGAGACUGCCGUCGAGAGCUGGUCAACAUGGCCGCUGAGAGCUGAGCAUCGAGCUGCUAGCGAUACAUGAGCAACAUGACCACUGAGAGUUGGGCAACGAGUCUCCCGAGGAUUGAACCACGAGGCUGCUCUUAUGAUCUGGAAUAUGGGUGUCACCCUGGGGGUGCACUGUCAUGGACAACAUCAGCUCUUCCUGUACACUAACUUUACCCAUUCGGAGUAAAAAUUACUUCUGCAUAGUAUCGCAGCAACCCUACCCCCCCCUUUUUUUAAAGGAGACGAGGAAUAGAAACGAUGGAUGAAUAGUUGCAGGAAUUUGGGCAACACAGCUACUGAGAAAAGCUAAGCGACCCAAGUACCAACAAAAACUGGGCAGCGCAACUGGCAUGACUGCUGGGAGUCAGGCAAUGUAAUUGCUGAUGAUUGGGCUGCGCAACCGCUGGGAGUUGAGCAACGAGACUAGCAGGGGCCAAUCAACAUAAAUGGUGAGGGUUGAGUAGCAAGAUUGCUUGAAGUUGGUCAACACAGUUGUUGAUAGCCGCGCAACGCAGCUGCUGAUUGUUAUUUCGAAAUGAUUCACUAGUAGUAGUAGCGUAUUACUCUUCUCCCACCCCCCUCCCCUUUUUUUUUGGAAAAGUUGUCGAGAGUUUGAGUCGCAACGCAUUCUGAUGAGCGAAACUUGCGUUGCGCAUGUAACGCCCUGUUCUAAAAGUAUUCGUUCGUGGAUUUCAAAAACCAAAGCUAGGGGUGUUUUGGUCAUUUAUGGGAUUGGAGUUUAUUUUGAGAAGGUUUUGGGGCUGAGACAUGCUGCUAGAAGCGUAGGGCUUCUCGCCACCUUUCUGUGGAUAUAAAGUUCAUCAGAAACGGAUUUAGAAUGAAGAAGAUAUGACACUUUGAAGAUUUGGCAAUAAUGGCCCUUAAGGAGAAAAGUUCGCAUGUAAGGCCAUGCACGCAUGUUUGGAACACGCGUGGGUACGCCCAACGUAAGCUGGGUUACGCCCAGCAUACUGGGGCAACUUGGUCGCGGAUGUUCAAGGCGUACGCCCAACGUACAUGGAGGUACGCCCAGCGUAAGCUAAAAGUCAUGAAACCCUAAUUUUUGGGUUGAACAUUAUAUAAAGAACAUGUUGGCUUCAACCCUAACCCCAUUUCAGCCUCCCCAACCUCAGAAGAAACCCUAGAACAUCCCUACCCUCAUUUAGGUCAAGCACUACUUCUUUCGGAGUUUGGUGAGUUCUUGUGAAACAGCGAAGAAGGUUUGGGAUAUGAUGAAAGAACUCUAGUCGAGUGAUGCAGAUCUUGAGCAUUUAGGUCAAGCACUACUUCUUUCGGAGUUUGGUGCUUUUGCUCAAAAGCCAGAUGAGAAACUCUAUGUUGACUUCAACUUGACAUGCUCCUUUGGAUUGUUAUUUGGGUUUAGCUCUAACAAUGACUAUAUAGUUAGAAUAAUGGUUUUAUGUUUAUUGGGGUGAUAAAAGCAUUGCCAUUCGGAACCAUUCAUUUCAAAGGGAUUAUAUAUGAAUGGAUUUCUACAAGAACUUUCAUGUUUACACUAUGGUUUACUCUGCUUUGUUGCAUUUAUCAUUUUCACUGCACCAAUUGUUGUAGAAAUACAUAAAUAAUUAUGUAAAAACAAAAUCACACAUAUGUCCUUUUUUGUUUAUAUCGACACAAUCAUAAAACUUCAUUCAACAUAGAAAAUGUGACACUUAUGUAUAAAUAGUUUAUUCUUGUCUUAUAGUUAUUCACUUAAGGGAGGUUUUGGUUUGGUUGAAUUAGACUCCUAAGAGAUUUAACAAUGUGGUUGUGGCUCUUAUAAAGAAACAUUGUGUAAUCUAAACAACUUCAUGAUAUCCAAAAUGGUGGAAAUCAUAUUUUGUAAGCAUGGUAUAUCUUUCAUCAUCUUUAACCAUGUUCUUACUCAUAAAAUUGCUUUGUUUGAACUUUGACGGUUUUCGGAUUAUGUUUUACUAAUAGUCAAAUUUGAUAAAUAGUGGAACCUUAUUGAUUAAAUCAAUGAGAUUAACAUUAAAUAUUUGAUCAAUAGUGGAACCUUGUCAUAUAAUCAUCUGGUUAAUUGCUUGGUCUUCUAUGUUACAAAAUCAAAUUGAACAAGAUGAUGACAAGUUUCAAAAGAAACAAAGAAGCAUGGAUCGAAUAUAGGAUAAUAAUCUGCAUUUUACAAGCUAAAUGUACAACCUUUAAUAUAAGAAGUUCUCUAGCAAUUGUUUCAUCAUGGACUAUAUUUAAUGUACAUGAAAGGAAGAACAAUGUGUUGCUUUCUUCAAACACUACAUAAAUGAAUUCAAAACAACCUAAACUAUAUAUGAAGAUGAAAGUACUAUGGUGGCUUUUGUAACACAAGGCAAGAUUUCUAAGACUAUUUUCAAAGAGGGUCGGGGGUGGGGGGACUGAUAUCUUUUGCACAACCAAAGAACAAGAGCAAGUCACCAUCUCAUCUUUUUGGGCAGGACAAAAAAUUGCAAUUUGUCUCAUUGGCAUUAAUCCCGGUUUUAGCACACCAAAUAUUGGUACAUUUCUAUGUAAUAAAGGAGAUGUAGAAGAGAAGAAAAAUGAUACUAAAGAUGUAUAUGAGGAACUAAUCUUGGAAGAAAACUAUAGGAAACAAGUACUUAACUACUUUGAAAAAUAGAUCAAGAUAUGAAACAUAGAUCCAAAUAGUAGCAUUAAAACAAAAACUUCAUUGAUAACAUAUAUCCGAGAAUUACUUGCAUUCCAGAGGGCCUAUACAGCUUCUCUUCCUCUCUUGAUCUUGGCAACAACUGUUACCAUGACUGCAACGUAUAUCUUGUCCAUGAUUUUCUCAACAAACCUGAAAAUCUUCCAUCUCCAGUGCUUCUUCAACAACAGAACUCCAAUUACACCCCAAAACCCUGUUGCAAAUCCACUCAUUAUGUCCGGGUAAAACCACCAUACCUUGAUCGACUCCUCAGCUGCUUUAUGUUUCUUCUUGGGCUUUGCUGUUGUUGUUGGGUCUUGAUGAUCUGAGCAAUUGUUUGUCAAUGGAGGUCCACAAAGAUCUCUGUUCCCACCAUAUAUUGAUGGAUCAUCAAUAAGGGUCUGCAAUUGAUGGCCUGUUGGAAUUCUUCCCCACAAGUUGUUGUGUGACAGAUUCAAAUGACUCAAAAAAAUCAAAGUUGCCAUGCUUGGAGGGAUCAUCCCGGUCAACUCAUUGUUUGAGAAAUCAAGAGAAAAUAAUGCCGUCAAGUUUCCAAUGGUGUCUGGAAUAUUCCCACUGAGAUGAUUAUUAGACAAAUUGAGACCCACCAACAUAGAAAGUGCAGUUAUCUCUUUAGGUAUUUCUCCUACGAGUUUAUUGCUUGAAAGGUCCAUGUUAUAAACUAUAUCCAAAAUUCUUGUUUAUUCAAGAUCAACACCUUUCAUAACCUGAAUCACAUUCUCAUUAGAAUCAUCACCACCAUUACUGUCAUACCACUUUUCUGCACCAUUAACCAUUGCAUUCAACUCUCUUAGGCAAUGAGGGAUGAUACCCGUUAAGUUGUUGUAUGCAACAUCCAAAAUUUGAAGAUUUGACAUUUUGCAUAAAGAUUCAGGAAUUUCCCCGGUAAAGUUAUUCUUGUGUAAUCUUAAAACAAUCAAACUUGUCAGAUUUUAAUUUGAGUUCCCAUGAGAUUCAAUUUCAUUAUAAUCUAAUCUGACAUCUAAACAACACCUAUAUUACAAAUGUCAUACAUAUAUAAAAUCCAAAUAGUAGCAUAAAUAAGCACAAUAGGUGUAUUAAGAAGUAAAACAAUCAUAACUAAUAUACACUUAAGAAAUAUUGUCAAUGGUUUCCUCCACAAACGUGAAAAGCUUCUGUCUCCACUGCUUCAUGAACAACAAAAGUCCAAUAACACCCCAAAACCCUGUUGCAAAACCACACGUUACAUCUACGUAAUACCAUGUCUUCAACCAUGCUUUGGUAGGCGCAUCAGUUUGUUUGUAUUUCUUCUUGGGCAUUGUUAUUGUUGUUGUUGUUGUUUGGUCUUCAUGCUUUGAGCAAUUGUUUGUCAAUGGAGGUCCACAAAGAUCUCUGUUCCCACCAUAUAUUGAUGGAUCAUCAAUAAGGGUCUGCAACUGAUGGCCUGUUGGAAUUCUUCCCCACAAGUUGUUGUGUGACAGAUUCAAAUGACUCAAAAAAGUCAAAGCUGCCAUGCUUGAAGGAAUCAUCCCGGUCAACUCAUUGUUUGAGAAAUCAAGAGAUUCUAACCUCAUCAUGUUUCCAAUGUUUUCUGGAAUUCUCCCACUGAGAUGAUUAUUUGACAAAUUGAGACCCAACAACAUAGAAAGCGCAGUUAUCUCCACAGGUAUUUCUCCUACAAGUUUAUUGCUUGAAAGGUCCAUGUUAUAAACUAUAUCCAAAAUUCUUGUAUAUUCAAGAUCAACACCUUUCAUAACCUGAAUCACAUUCUCAUUAGAAUCAUCACCACCAUUACUGUCAUACCACUUUUCUGCACCGUUAACCAUUGCAUUCAACUCUCUUAGGCAAUGAGGGAUGAUACCCGUUAAGUUGUUGUAUGCAACAUCCAAAAUUUGAAGAUAUGACAUUUUGCAUAAAGAUUCAGGAAUUUCCCGGUAAAGUUAUUCUUGUGUAAUCUUAAAACAAUCAAACUUGUCAGGUUUUCUCCAAUCCAGUGGGGUAUCUUUCCAAACAAUUGAUUAUCACCCACAUCUAGGUCUUUUAAAUCUCUUAAAUUCCCCAACUCUUGAGGAAGUUCACCAGUAAAGUUGUUGUCAUUUAAUUUUAACCAAUGCAAUGAUGAAUGACUAAGUGCUAUAUAGCUUGGAAUGACACCUGAAAGUAAAUUUGAGCUAAGGAUCAUGGCACCCAACCCUUGCAGAUUCUGGAGACAUUUGGGAAUUGUCCCUGUUAACCUAUUUCUGGAAAGAUCAAGUAAAACUAAAUCUGUCCAUCUGCACAAGGACUUCGGAAUUGACUCAUUGAAAAUGUUAUUUGCCAGUAUCAAUGCCUGACCUGUUUCUGGAAGGUUUGUCAAUGGUCCGCUGAGUUUGUUGUGAGAGAGAUCUAAGAAAGCAAUGACAGGCAUCUUCCGCAACCAUGUGGGCAGAGGUCCCGAAAUUGAAGCAUUCGACAACACUAACUCAGAGAGCAAGAACUGAUUCCGUAGCCACUGUGGCAAUCCAUUUGUGAGAUUGCAGGAACUGAGAUCAAGACCAUCCAACUGGAAUGGAGGCAUCCACUUAUGUGAAAAAUUGCAUGUCAACUUCGUGUUAGAAGAAGCUUCCAAGUAACUCAACAUCGAAAGGUUAGCAAAAUGGGCUUCGGAAACUACUCCUUCUAAGGAAUUGUCUGAGAUAUCUAACUCAUUGAGUUUGGCAAGUUGCCCAAUUGAAACCGGAAUAGUCCCAUUUAACAAAUUUGAAGACAACCGAAUUGCUUGUAAUGAAACAAGUCUUCCUAGAGAUGUUGGGAUGGGGCCCGUUAAGUGAUUGGAUUGUAGAUACAAAGAUUCUAAAGCUGCAAGAUUUCCAAAGGAUUCUGGAAUUGAACCAUUCAAUUGGUUAUCAUGUAGAUCUAAUACCUCUAAGAAUCUUAAUCUUCCUAGAGAUUCGGGGAUUGGACCUGUCAAACUGCUCAUUGAUAGAUCUAAGUGUCUUAAAUUGGUUAGUCUUCCAAAUGCUUCUGGAAUCGUACCAUUCAAACACCCACUUAAAUCCAACCGCUCCAAAGCAUAUUGGGAGCAUUCUGAAACGUUUUGCGGUGGGUCAAUCCUUUCUAUUUCAAAAGGAUUUCCAUAUGCAGCCAAUGUUUUCAGGUGACACUGUCUCCAGAUUCCAACAUCCUCAAUAUUCUUAAACUGGUUAACAGAAAGAUCAAGCUCUAGAAGGUUAGCCAUAAUAGGAACCGAAGAAUGCAGCAUGUUUCUUGAGAGAUCAAGGACUCUUAAGGAACUCAUGUUACUGAAAACAGAUGGAAAUAUGCCUUCAAUUGAAUUCCAGCUAAGAUCCAGGUGUUGGAUGUUAGAAAGCAUACAAAGUGACAAAUGCAGCUCUGAUAAAGAAGGGAUCAUGUUUAGCACGUUUGCAAAGUUCCAUGCCAAACUAAGAUUAAAUUUAGAAAGAUCGAGGAAUGCUAGGGAUGUCAUGUUUCGGAAAAAUCCAGGGAGUGGGCCUUUGAAAGAAUUGAAGCCAAGAUCAAGGUGUUUGAUGUUGGGAAGUAUUCUACUCGAAUUAAGAAAAGGACCAAGAUGGGCAUUGGAAAGUCCACAACCAUGCAAACUUAACUCUUUUAACGAAGGAAGAUUGUAAAGCACCAUGCCCAUGUUCUUUGCUCCGCCAAGAUCCACCCAACUCAAGUCGAGAUGCUCGAGUGAUGAAAGGCCAAAAGUCCAUGACAUAUCAUCAUUCCAACUGAGAUCCAAAACCUUUAAAUUAGAAAGAUUUCCAAUGUAAGGAGGAAUAAUACCUUGAAAACCAGCAUAAGAGAGAUUGAGAUAUCUCAGCUGUUUGAAGGAGCCAAUGAACGUAGGGAACCGGCUUCCUCCAAAAUCAUUCUGACUCAAGUCCAGGUACUUGAGAUGCCUCAACUCAGCCAAAGUAAUCUCCUCUGAGAUUGAGGCUGUCAAUGGUUCCAGUGCGACUGCCACAAUGGAUUCUUUCCCACUGGCAACAAUCCUUACCCACCCAUGAAGACAACAUUCCGAAACCAUCUUCGAUGACACUCCCUUUGAACCUGAGAAGAGCAAGUCGUUCUUUCUGGGAGCAAACAACAGUGACAUUUCCAACACCCAAACAAGUAUAUUUGGUUGCAAACAAAAAAACACAUAUGAAAAUGAGAUGGAGCCCCAAACCCCACGGAUUCCCCAUUUAUCAACCCUCCCUAACUCAGUUUAAUUUAGAAGAAAGUUGAAGUGGAAAGAUAGUUUGUUAUGAUGAAGUGAUAGAUUAUUAUGAAGAAGAAACCAGUUCAUUUAUAAUGCCACAAAUGAAGAACAACUUAAUGCCAUGGAAGACUUGAAGUCAAUGGACAUUUGUACCCACAAGUUGUAUUUUUGUGGUCUGAUGCUAUCUUUAUUUCUCUCUUGAUAAAAAAAAAAAAAAAAAAAAGGGGUUUAUGGCCAAGUCUGUUCCCCAUGUCAAACAAGCAUUUAGAUUUUCAAGAUAUCCAAGAUAAUUUAUAAUCUUUUUGUAAAUAGUAGUUGUAAAUUAUAAACUGAAUUUUGAUGUCCAAUCAUUUUACACAACUAACUACAAGAAAAUAAUUUUUUGUUAUUAUUUGACUUGAAAAGGUUGAUGUGCCAAGCCCAAGCCUAAUUAAAAGAUACUUUCUUCUGCAACUCCAAAUUAAAGAUAUUAUAUCAUCUUUUAUAAAAAAAAAAUCCAGUCUUCUCAAAUGCAUUACGGUUUUAUUAGACAUGACAAUUUCAACCCAUUUACUUGAAAAUAGGCACUAAAAAUGACCUAAAUAAACAAUACAAAAUGAAGCAAUUAGAAACAGUUAGUCAUGAAACAAUAUAUACAAGGUUCAGGCAAAACAUCUAAUGCACUUGAAUUAGACAGAAUUUGGGAAUAAAACAAUUUAAACACAUAACAUAAUUAAUACAGGGGAUGAGUCAAGAAAAUAUCAAAAAUUAAAAAACAUGGAAAGCAACAUAACCCAUGAGAUAAUGUAUAUAGAAGAGCUUUUUAACGUUUCCUAGGUUAAACCAACAUAAAUAAAUAUUAUAGCAUCUCACUUUCAUUUGUUUAACCAUAACAUUGUAUUUUCAUUUUUUUUUCUUAUUAUGGCAUUGUGCUUUGAAAUGUGCACCCAGUUAUAACAUUGUUCUUCAAAAAUAAUUCUUAUUAGCAUGCUAUACUUUGAAAAUCAUCCAAAUAAUAGCAGUGAGAAUUCAAUUGCUUUUUACAAUGUUCAGGCCAAAUGCAAUAUGCAACAGUCACUAGGAAGAAGANNNNNNNNNNNNNNNNNNNNNNNNNNNNNNNNNNNNNNNNNNNNNNNNNNNNNNNNNNNNNNNNNNNNNNNNNNNNNNNNNNNNNNNNNNNNNNNNNNNNNNNNNNNNNNNNNNNNNNNNNNNNNNNNNNNNNNNNNNNNNNNNNNNNNNNNNNNNNNNNNNNNNNNNNNNNNNNNNNNNNNNNNNNNNNNNNNNNNNNNNNNNNNNNNNNNNNNNNNNNNNNNNNNNNNNNNNNNNNNNNNNNNNNNNNNNNNNNNNNNNNNNNNNNNNNNNNNNNNNNNNNNNNNNNNNNNNNNNNNNNNNNNNNNNNNNNNNNNNNNNNNNNNNNNNNNNNNNNNNNNNNNNNNNNNNNNNNNNNNNNNNNNNNNNNNNNNNNNNNNNNNNNNNNNNNNNNNNNNNNNNNNNNNNNNNNNNNNNNNNNNNNNNNNNNNNNNNNNNNNNNNNNNNNNNNNNNNNNNNNNNNNNNNNNNNNNNNNNNNNNNNNNNNNNNNNNNNNNNNNNNNNNNNNNNNNNNNNNNNNNNNNNNNNNNNNNNNNNNNNNNNNNNNNNNNNNNNNNNNNNNNNNNNNNNNNNNNNNNNNNNNNNNNNNNNNNNNNNNNNNNNNNNNNNNNNNNNNNNNNNNNNNNNNNNNNNNNNNNNNNNNNNNNNNNNNNNNNNNNNNNNNNNNNNNNNNNNNNNNNNNNNNNNNNNNNNNNNNNNNNNNNNNNNNNNNNNNNNNNNNNNNNNNNNNNNNNNNNNNNNNNNNNNNNNNNNNNNNNNNNNNNNNNNNNNNNNNNNNNNNNNNNNNNNNNNNNNNNNNNNNNNNNNNNNNNNNNNNNNNNNNNNNNNNNNNNNNNNNNNNNNNNNNNNNNNNNNNNNNNNNNNNNNNNNNNNNNNNNNNNNNNNNNNNNNNNNNNNNNNNNNNNNNNNNNNNNNNNNNNNNNNNNNNNNNNNNNNNNNNNNNNNNNNNNNNNNNNNNNNNNNNNNNNNNNNNNNNNNNNNNNNNNNNNNNNNNNNNNNNUGAAAUACGUAAUUCUGUUUAAGUCCUUUUUUGCCUAUUUUUUUUAUUUUUUUUUAUCAAUCAAAAUUAAAUGGUCUGCACGGCUCCUAUGGUUGGCAUGUUACAAUCAUAUUUUAUCCUAAAAUAUCUUUAAUAUAAUUAGAUUUAAACAUUAAAGAAAUUAUAUAAUAGUUUUUUGAGUAAAUUACAUGAAUGGAGUCAUGUAGUUUUGGGUAAUUUGUGUGUAUGGUCCUUAACUAUUUUUUCUAACUCGGACGGUCCUUAUAGUUUGGUUUUGUUUAGGUUUUGUGUCCCCAAACAAAUUAAUAUGACUAUCUUGCUCUCAAUGUAGAUUAGCAUAAACCACAGGGACCAUUUGUGUAAUUUACUCUAGUUUUUUCUUUUAAGUUUGAUACCACUAUUGCUACAAUUUUUUUGGCUUUUAGCGAAUUGGUGUUAUUGAAUUGGAACACUGUUGGGUAUAUUCUAUGCCCCAUGGCACACGUAAAAACAUUUGGCCAAAAGCCUUCCACACAAACUUUGAAGUCAACAAAGUAAACCCCCAAAUAACACUCACACACAAAAAAGGGGACCAUGAUUGAUGAACCAAUCAUCUUUCUUGUGGAAUUUUCCAUGCAACUUCUCCCUACCAAAUGUAUUCCACUUUGAUAUUAUUCCACAAAAAACAAAAACUACUAUCAGGAUUGCAUAGACUAACUAUCAGUGUUGUGAAGUAUACUUAGCUUAACUUGUUAAUAUUUUCAAUUUAUUAGUUCUUAUUAUAAGUUACAAUGUUAUGUCCUGUAAUUUUUAAAUAUAUACCAACACCAAAACAUAAGAGAUUAUGGUUGAUGGAAGAGAAAAAAUGAAAACAAAUUUGAUGUCCUUAAUCAAUGCCAGAAACUAUGAAUGUCAUGACAGAUACUUUCAUUUCAAUUCAUAGAAUACCACUUCCCAAAGAAUUUCUACAUUACCCAUCAGCUUUCAUUUUAUCCUCGUUUGUUCCUCUAAAUUACUUUUUAAUGUAAGUAAAUACAGUAUGAUGUAGAGAUGACAAUUCCAACCCAUUUAUAGAAAAAUGGGUUUGAUUUAGGUCAUUCUUUAUAUCUAAUUGGUCAAACAGGUCAGCCCGGUUCCAAAACUCAUUUAAAUGUGUUAAAAGUUUGUGAGCUGUUUUAAUAACCAAUUAAUAUUUUACUUCUUAAAACACAGUUUUAAUAAGUUUUCUUAAAAUAUUUAAGGCAUUCCAGUAAACACUUAUGAUAUUUUAAAACACACAUGCACUUAGAAGAAGCACUGAUUUUGUUGUCUUUACAAGAUUUACAGGUUAUUAAAUUUGAAUAAAACUAUUGAUGCAUGCUAGAACUCAUAUCUUUAAAGUUGUAAUUCAUUUUAGUUGCAACUAGUGCGGUCUCUAAUAUGUCUAAGAUGCAAUAUUUGUGUUGAUAUUUACAAAAAGUUGAUUACAUGAAAAUAAACUGUCUUUUUUCUGUCAAAAAUAUACAGUAAAAAAUGAUAUUAGAUAACUAAUAUCCAGAAACUUGUAUUUUGGUCUUGGGGUAUUUUUCUUUUUCUCUUAAUCAAUAUAAGUGGUUGUUGGUUAUUCCACAUGACAUUCGUAAAUGUAUUUGGCUUAUUGGCCACAAUUUAUUAAUUUUCAUGGAAGACUUGGAAGUCAAUGAAUACAUCCAAGCCUAUUUUUUGUUUUCUCUAGAUCGAAAGAAGUGCUUUUUAGCCAAGUCUAUCCCCCUUGGAAGAAGCAAGUGUAANAAAAAAAAAAAAACAGUAAAAAAUGAUAUUAGAUAACUAAUAUCCAGAAACUUGUAUUUUGGUCUUGGGGUAUUUUUCUUUUUCUCUUAAUCAAUAUAAGUGGUUGUUGGUUAUUCGACAUGACAUUCGUAAAUGUAUUUGGCUUAUUGGCCACAAUCUAUAUUUUCAUGGNAAAGAAGUGCUUUUUAACCAAGUCUAUCCCCCUUGGAAGAAGCAAGUGUAAUUGCAAUAAAAAAAAAAUUUAAACAAUAGUGCCAUGAUUGAUGCACUAAGUUAGCAUAUUUCUUGUGGAAUUUUCCAUGCAACUUCUCCCUAACAAGAAAACAAAUAUAUUCCUCUUUUCUUAAUAUUCCAUUAAAAACAAACCUAGUAUCAGGAUUGCAUCAGUCUAAUUAUCAGUUGCGUGAAGCAAGUAUAUUUAGCUUAACUUAAUUUAAUAUUUAUCAAUUCUUAUUAUAUGUUACAAUGUUAAGUACAUAUUCCAUAACUUAUAUUUUGUAACUUUUACAUAUGUACUAUAACAGAUCGUUCAAACUGUAUUUGUGAUUCCACCCAUGCAUGGCUCAUACCCCAUAGAUCGUUCAAACUGUAUAUGAACAACAAUCAAUUUUAGCUCAAAUGGUAAAAACCACUUACAUGAGUUUCCUUUGUAGCAAAAUAGGAGAUAAAAAACUAGCUACCUUUGGUUUUGUUACAGAUAAAAUCCAUUUAGUAACAAAUUUGUAUUACCUAUGAUUUUUUGUAUUACCUAUGAUUUUCUAUUUCUUCAAUUGGAUCAUUCAUGUGUAAAGUCCUCAACAUGAGGUGAAGCAAAUAGAAAUGAGUUAAAAUGCUUAAAAGAUGAUAUUGGGUUACUAUUAUAAUAAUAAUAAUAAUAAUAAAUAAAUAAAUAAAUAAUUAUAUCAUGAAAAGAGAGCUAAGGUGGUUGGGUCCAAAAUAAAAGUUCGAGUAAAUUAUACGAAUGGUCCUUAUGGUUUAAGGUAAAUUGCAUUUUUGGUCUCUAAUUUAUUUUUUUAACUCAGAAGGUCCCUAGUGUUUGUUUUUGUUAUACGAUUGGUUCCUGUCUUACGUAAAAAAACUAUUUUGCCAUUGAUUUUUUAAUUUAUUUAAAUAAACACACCCUCAAAUGCCCCCCUCACCUUACCUUACCUACUCAUCAUUUUUUCCUAUUUGGGUAAAUUACACCAUCCGUCCCUCGUGCAUAUAUCAGAAAGCAUGUUUAGUCCCUAUUUUUAAAAAUUAACUCGGACCGUCCCUGAAUUUGUUUUUUCUUGCAUGGUUAGUCCCUAUUGACAUAAAAUGACUAUUUUACCCUUAAUAAUUUUUUUUUUAUUUUUUUUUGUUACUUACUUAUCAGUGUAUAGAUUUAAAAGAAAAAAAAAAAUAUCCCACCCCUCCCCUCCCCCUAUCCCUAGUUUCCUUCUCCCUCUCUCUCAUUUACACUCACAACCGACAACUACCCAACUCCGGCGCUCCUUCUCCUUUCUCCGGCGAUACCAACCUUUUUCUUUCUCUAUUUUUCGAUCACCACCCACUACAAGUGCUGGCAGCUGCGAAUGGUGGUUCUUUGUCGCAUUCUUCUAAAGUCCAAUAUUCCUCCCCCAAUUUUAACUAAGAACUACAAUUUGUGUGACAACCUGAUACUUUACACUGAGCAAUCCAUCCAUAUAUCUAAAAUUCACUUGAAUUUAGCAUCUUUUAAUAAUAUGUUGAGCCCGCGCUAGUGUUUUAGGCUUAAUAUAUCAUAGAUAUGGACCUUAGGAAAGAUUAGGAAGGGUGCUGCAUCACGAAAUCCAACCAAACACACCAAGAGAGGUGUGUGCGGCCAAGCCAGUCGCACACCCAGCAGCAAACCCCUCCAGCCUCACACUCAACCCUAUAUAAAGUAGAGGACCCCCUUCCAUUCACUUUUGGCUGCAUCCUUUCUCUUUCUAUACUUUCCCUCUCUAGAAAACCACCCAAGAACACCUAGAAGACUCCCAAAACGUGAAGAACACCAUCAUUUUACUUGUCACGGAGGUGAAAUACUUGAAUCCAAGCCUCAAACUCAUAAUGUUCUUCAUGUUCUUCAUCCUAUGAAGGAGUGCGGCCGCACACCUUCAUCAGGUGGCCGCACACACUCAUAAUACCCUCCAAAGUGAGAGUAAGGCCACAUAAUCGACACAUGGGACUCGAACAAGGAGUGUACGGCCGCACACACACCCUGUACGGCCACACACUCUAGUGUGCAACCUCACUCACAAGUCUGGCCGACCCCAGCCGCACACUCACCUUUAUGGCCAUACACACACCCUAAUACUCAUAUUUGGCCUUAAACUUGCAUAGAUCAUUGGGUAUAGAACAUGGGACACUUAGUCUUAGUGAUUCCAUGCCCUUAGGAAGGAUUUCCCCUCAUGUUUAGUCAUGAAAACACCUUAGCUCUAACUUAUAUAUGUGUCACCGUAUGAUUAAUAGGGGCUACUUGCGUUCAGAACAUCCGUUGACACUCAGCAGUUAUACGAAUCGCAAACUUGAACCCUACAGUAAACGGUGAGUUUAUACCCCUUAAUGAACCUUUUUAAAUGUUUUUACGUGUUUUAGGGGGGAGGGGGGGGGUACAAGUAUAAUACUACGUGUUUUUAUUAUCAAAUCAUAUGUGAAUUACAUUUCAUCAUCAAAAGGAGAACUCUCUACACUUUUAGAUACUUAUCAAGAAAACUGUUUUCAACUAAUUAUCAAAUGCGUUUUUAAGGUUAUUUAUAUAAGUAAGACUUGAAGGACUUAGGACUGAUAGCUCGCCUUAUUUCCUGUUCUUGUUUGAUGUGGUCUUAGGGUAUUGGUUGUCCGUCCGACUAUCGUUGAUUUCUUAGUUAUAUAUCAUAUAUAUUCAUGUUAGCUAUGAAAGUUUUCAUCUUAUUCAAUACCUUUGCUGAUCAAAGGCAGGAAUUCACACACUCUAAUUAACUAUAAUAGGUAUAGUUAAGGUUACUGCUUGUUACCUCUACUACUACUAUACAUACUACAACUGUCAAUAUUACAAGUUAAUACNUAUAUGUCAAGGAGUCAGUGGGAGUCUCAAUGGUCUUGAAAAGUUUCGAGAACAAAUCAAAAUAAACCUUAGUGAUCAUCANGAGAACACUCUACCUACUAUACUAAAAGUCUACCAUACUAAAGCAUAAGAGAACACACUAAUACAAAGUAAAACACACUAUCCCUUGAUAAGGUACUCUACCACGCUUACACCAUGUGAUAAGGGCUUCCCGGAAGGAAAGCAACACUACAUGUAUAGAUCUAUAUGGAACUGACACUAUUACAUCCCGACUGUUAACAACAGUCCGAGCCUACUAGGCCCAGGAAUGACACUACAUCACUUCACUACGAAUGACCGGGAAGGUCAUCGGACACUCUAAUAUCAUACAAUUGGUCACAUGAGGGGUUACACUUAUAUCCAAAUAAAUACACUAAGACUUAAAGUCUAAGCUAAUAUCCCGAAGAAACUAAAGAUCUAUUGCUGACUAAAGUUACACCACUAUUGCUGUUAGCAGGCAUAACAUUUCUUCAGCUAUGUUACUCACAUGAGAUUUAUUACUAUACUUUUACAACUGAAGGUUUCAAAGAUAAUACUUUUACACACUCAAAGGAUUUGACUUACAAAUGCACAUUUCUGGAAAAUAUAGGAUUUUCUAGGGAAUCCUACUACUCAUAAACAUAAGUUUCAGUUUCUAUAUUAUGUUUUUGUAAAACUCUUUUACACAAACAACGACACUAAAAUCUUAUGAACUCACCAUCUUUAUGCUGAUACUCGUUUUCAAAAUAACUUGUAUCCUCAGGUCAAAGAUAGACAGGUACUGGUGUAGCUUUUGGAGANAUGAUUGUAUGAUUAUUAAGGAAAGUAUUGCAAGGUUAGCAAUAUUAAUUAUAGAAAACAAGAGUCAUACUUUGCAAAGUCGCAAUAGUUGAAUAAUUGUUUUGCUAUAAUUAAGGGAGAGAAUAUUAUGCUUCAUUUCAAAUCUAAAGGAUUAGGUUGAGAAAUGUUAAUAAAUUUAGUCAAAGGUACAUAGUGUGUUCUUAAAAUUUCGAUUAUGAUUACGGCAUUCCUCUUCACAAUUCGAAUUUUGAGAACAUAGCAAAUAAAACACUAUGCAUCGUGUCCCAUACGCUUCGGGUAUAGGAUUGAUUGCAAAUGCUUUAAUGUUUGACCAUUCUAAAAUUUUCCAAAUGUCUAGCGCAUUUAAAGCGAAAAAGGACUAGAAUUGGUUUUGACUAAAAUAAUUAAACAACUAUCAAAGGACAAUCCAAAGUUCGACGAUGAUUGGUUGCUUGUGAAUAGUUGGAAGCAUGGUAUUGGAUCGACCAUAUGGACAUUAUUAUGAAUAGAAAAGAUUCUAUUAAGAAUGAGUUGUCAUAUGGAAAAUAUGGAAAUGUUUCCAUNAAGUCUAAAAACUUACCAACACUACCACAAGAUCGUUAGAACAAGAAUACUAUAGGAGUAUUAUGCAUUCUACUAACUAAGUAUGUGAUAACUAAAAGGGUCGUUACUGGUAGGACAAUGGUUGCUAAGUGGAUACACCACGGUUACAUGUGACUAGGGCGCCAUAGACUUAGAAUCUGUGGCCUUUGCUUCAUUUCUUAUUCUUGUUUGAUUGGGAAUUUGGGUGUUUCAUUAAGGACUAUCUUUAUAUCUAAUCUAAACUUGUCCUUCUUCCUUUCAGAUGUCUUCCAACAAUGAUGAUGUUGUAUUAGUGUCUAAGUCCAUGACUAUUUUGGUAUGUACUUGACCCGAUGGUGCAUGGUCCUUUUGGGUUGCCNAGCAAGAAUUUGAUAUUCUUUCACUUAUGGAAAUGGAUUUGGAGUUGUGAAAUGAGAAUGAUUGGAAAUGUGUUCAAUUUGAUCUAUUUCACAAAGAAAGAACCAUAGGUAAACAUUGUGUGCAUGCUAGGAGCAUGGGACAAGUGUAGUAAUUCAAGUAAGAAGUCGAUUACCCGAAACGACAAAUAAUGAGUAAUCGAUAUGAUGAUAAAUAAAAGGUGUUUUAUUUAUGCUCAAAGGUUUGAGGCCAUAUGGGAUUAGUAUUAUUCUUGUGUUUCACUUUGCAUGUUUUGACUUCCUGAACAAUUUAAUUGGUUAAGAACAGUAAAAUUAUUCGCACGGGCCACAGUCGUUCAUAUGUUGGAAGUAGGUAUGAAUGAAGACUGUCGUGAAUUGGUGUGUGGAUUGUCUAAAAGAGUAUUAGACAUAGGCAAAUGUUUGCUGCAACGUUCAUGAGUGCUUAUGAAUAUGAAUUUGCGCAUUGGAUUAAACCCACGCUCAUUUGGAUCACUCCAUGGAUUGUAUCACGAGUGAUUGGUGAGACGAUAACAUCUUAUAUUCUUGAAACCGAGAUGUGUGAGUUGUAUCUUGCUAAUCGGUUGCACAUUGAUAAUAUGUAAACUACUCGAAUAGUCCAUGUCGUUUGGGUAAUUUACAUGUAUGGUCCUUAUUAUUAUUUUUUUUAACUCUGGAUGAUUCUUAUGGUUUGGUUUUGUUUCGCUUUUAAUCCUCACCCGAGUUAAUAUGACUAUCAUUCUCUUACUAAUAUUUUUCUAUAAUUUUUUUUAAUUCAUUUUUUUUAUGUUACUAUUAGAUAGAGUAAAUUAUUAAUGUUUAAAAUAGGCCCACCCACAACCCCAUGUCGCUUUCCUUCUUCAGUGAAAUACCACCACUACCGUUGAAACCACCUCCCACCAGAGAAACAAUCCCCGACCACCAUUAUACGGUUCUUGUGCAUUGGUCAGCUCCAAUGAUAUCCGUAACUACUAGUCAUAAAGGAUAUAUCCAUAUAUGAUUAGAUAAGUAGACAAAAAUUAUGUAGUCAAAGUUUAUUUGUUCAUUCUCAUAAUUCAGAAGCAAUAUGUAUUAGCCCCUCAAUGAUUUGGUACUAUCUAAAGUGUUUGGUCGAGCCUUGACUAAAUUGAUGUGUUCGAUUUAGAAGUUAGAUUUGAUUGUCAGAAAUUGUUAAUCGCGGGAAACAAAAUGUUGAAUAUUGAGAUUUUACCCUAUCAAUGUCUCAUGUUCAUAGAGAUAUCUAGAAUGAAGGAAUAAUUCAUGACUUGUCUAAGGACUAAGUUUUGAUUCCAGCAAGAGUUUAGCAGUUGCAUUGGAUAACUACUCUUUGUUCAUCAUCUUCAUGUUCACAUUUUUCACCAUAUUCUAAAAUAGAAUCAACAUCAUCAAUAGAAACCACAUCAUCUUCAAGAUCCGGAUGAAUCCAAUCAAACAAAGAUUCAUGAUAGUGAUCUACAUACAUAUUCAAUCUCUUGUUUCUAAUGGUAGCUUCAAGAAACUCAUGAAAAUCUCACUCAUUUUGUAUGGCAUGCAAUCCCUAAGCCACACUUACUUUAGGUAGACAAUAAUAUACAACUUUGCACUUAUACUUAGUAAUUUCCUCAAGAAAAGAGAUAAAUCGGGGAAGGUGAUCUUGUUCACAUCUAUGUAUUGUACAAAACUCUAGUUACAUCAAAAUACACCAAUGGUGUAGGUGAGAACGUGUCAUUAUAGUGUACAUCCAAGAUUGGAUUUUCAUCUUAUUCCAUGGUAGAUUUCAUUUGCGACUCAAGAAGCUUGGGCAUAAUGGAGGAAUGGUGGCUGAGUAAAUAAAUCCUAAUUUCCCGUUAUCAUCAUAAUAUGGGUGUAAUAUGUGCUUAUUUACGUAAGCUACCAUCUGGACACCACAUAUGUAAUUCAUUUCACCAAAAUAAAGGGGAAAUCAUAUAUGACCGACAAACCAGGUUUAGGUGUGUAACCGGUCAAAAGGAUUUCAUGAGUAUAAAAAAACAAGUGUGAGGGCCUAUUUUACAUAAAUAAAUAAAUAAAUAAAAAGGAGUCAACGUGUACAAAAGGAGAACCAGGUUACCCUUUUAGGUCAUUUUCCCCUAAACUAAUUAUGUCAAAAAUUAGAGCAUACCCCCCCCCCCCCCCCCAAAAAAAAAAAAAAUCUCUCUCCUUUCCUUAUUUAAAUGUAUCGGAGUUAAUGAGAAAAUGAGAAAUCAAUUUUGAAAGAUAGAUGAUGAAAUUAGGAGUAAAAGUGAAAAUCCAAUGGUGUUUCUAAGCUAAUUCUUAAAGUAGAAGCUUGUAAGGUAGCUUUCCUUUUCCUUGUUGUCUUCUAGGUUUACAAAUGUUCCAUAAAUCUUAAUAUCUAUGAUGAAACUCAUGAUUAUAUUAAGUUAUGUGUUCUAUUAUAGGUUUAUAACACCAAUCCAAUGAUGUAACUGCAUGACCUCAUGAGUUAGUUGACAUGCUAUAAUACCCCACAAUAGAAGGGAGUCCCAGAGAGGAAGAACAGGCAUUUGGCAGAGAUUUCGAGUAGUAUGAUCCAUGAUAAAAGUGUUUUGGUAAAGUUUUGGGUGGAAACAAUGAUAAUUGUAGCAUAAGUAAUUAAUAGAAUUCCACAGCAAGGUCUCUCAUAUCGGUGUACAUUCGAAAAGAUGUGGAAAAUGAAACCAAAUGUAAGUCUUCUGAGAGUUUUUGGCUGUGAUAGCUUUCCAUUUUCCAUCUCACACCCUCAUCAAAAUUGACAUUUUCAAAAACAUGUCUAAACACAUACCACGUGCAUUCACUUACCAAUUUCUAUAAAUAUUAGGUCAUCUCCAUCUCUAGAAAUGUGGGUUUUCAAUGCAGAAUCUAAGCAUUUUCCUUUUUUAUUGGUUGCCAAGAUUUCACAUUGACACCUUUGUAGUCCGUUACUUGUCCUUUGUAGUGAACACAUGCUUCUUGCUCACUGGUCGCUUCACCAUGCUCUUGCUCAUCGAUUAUUAGGUAACAACCACGGUGUAGAUGUAACUACAUUGAAGUGAAAAGUAUUGGUGUUCUAUCAAAUGUAUUGACAAAGAUCCAAACAUUGUUCGUAAAGAAAUAAUUACAUUAGAGAAUGACACAAGAAAACCAAAUGAAGAAUAUAAUUGUGCCAUUAAAUUGGGGAAAAACAUUCAUUACAACCUUAGUCUAAAUGCCUUGUUUUAUAAUUCAUAGUAUUUGUGUUCCGUUUGACACUCAUUUAAUCAAGCAGAAAGUCUUCUAAUCAUGAAAUUUGAAAAGUACUAAUUAUAACAUUUUAUUCACAUUUAAUCAAGCACAAAGCCUUCUCAGCAUGAAAUUUGAAAAGUACUAAUUAUGGAAGUUCAACACAAAUUGAACAACAUUGAGCUUUAUAUAACUUAUUGACUUAUUGUCAUAUAUUUUCAACUAAAUGACAAGAAAGUCUUCUAAUCAUGAAAUUUGAAAUGACAAGAAAUUCACAUUUAAUCAAGCACAAAGCCUUCUCAGCAUGAAAUUUGAAAAGUACUAAUUAUGGAAGUUCAACACAAAUUGAACAACAUUGAGCUUUAUAUAACUUAUUGACUUAUUGUCAUAUAUUUUCAACUAAAUGACAAGAAAGUCUUCUAAUCAUGAAAUUUGAAAAGUACUAAUUAUGGAAGUUCAACACAAAUUGAACAACAUUGAGCUUUAUAUAACUUAUUGACUUAUUGUCAUAUAUUUUCAACUAAAUGACAAGAAAGUCUUCUAAUCAUGAAAUUUGAAAAGUACUAAUUAUGGAAGUUCAACACAAAUUGAACAACAUUGAGCUUUAUAUAACUUAUUGACUUAUUGUCAUAUAUUUUCAAUUAAAUGACAAGAAAGUCCUGAACUUUAUUUUUUUGACAGUAAAGUUCUAACCACCGACAGUUUUUGACACUUUUACCAUUUUUUUCUGGUUAGUCGGUAAUUAGAUUGUUUUUGUCAAAAUAAUAAAGUUUAUGACUUUCUUGUCAAAUCGUGAAUUAAGACUUUACUAUAAAAAAAAAGUUUAGGAUAUUUUUGUCAAAUCGUUGAAAAUAUUGGGACUUUAGUGUAUUUUCAUAGCCCAAGAAAUUUUAAUUGUGAUUUUUGUCACAACAUCACUGUUUUUCUUACCAUCAUCAUCUUUACCCUAAUAUAAUCACUAGUAACUUGGUGUUAUAAAACAUAUUGUUGUGUGUGAUUCGGUGAGUGAGUGCAAGCGAGCAUUGUAUCAAAGUUUAUCCCUUCCUUUUAUCCAAAGUAGGAUAAAAGUGAUACCUUUGGGCCCCUCGAUGGUUUAGUGAUGACAAACGUAAAUGCUCGGCCGGGCUAGGGCUAAUUUGAUUUGUUCAAUUAGUCAUUCGUCAUAAAUCGGAAAUCGAGAAAUAAUACAAAGAGAAUGAUUUGAAAUCAUAUCUCAUACGAUAUCUAGAAUGGGGGAAUAUAUGAUCCCUUAUCUAAAGGACACGCGUAUCUGAUAGGAUCAGAGUUGACAGUGGCUUUGGAAAGCUACGAUUGCAUAUCAGGAUCUGAAGUCAUACGCAAAAUAGUUAUUAGACGUAUCCAAGUGGGAGACUGUUGGAUUAGUGUCUAAGUCCAUGACUAUUUUGGUAUGUACUUGACCCGAUGGUGCAUGGUCCUUUUGGGUUGCCUUCACCAAAGCAACUUAAUAGGAUGAAUCAUGGAGAGAAAGGAUUAAAUAUGAAUUAUUAAUUAUUAUGAGAAUAAUAUAUUAAAGGAGAAAUCAUAUUGUUUAAUUAAUAUUAGUCAAUAAUUAAUUAGUAAUUAGUUUUGUGACUAAAAGAGAUUAAUUAAACUUAAGGGACUGGAAUUGUAAUUAUAAGAUAAUUGCAAUUUGGGCUAUGGAUUGUCUUAUAUUGAGGAGUAGACGAAUUCUAUGGGGAAACGCAUGAGGAAAUCGUCCAAGGCCUUAAGGAAAGGAGUCCAUGGGUUGCUUAGGGCUUAAGCAUCCAAAUUAGGGUUUCCUUGUUAGAUAACCCUAAUAGCCUCACUAUAUAUAGAACCCUUAAGGCUCAAAAACGUGGGGAACUUCUCUUCUAGGGCUAGAACAUGUUUUGGGCAGCCUCUAUCCUCUCUCCUCUUCAUCCUCUUGCUCUUGGUGUUUGUGAACCAUUAGAGGAGUGCCAUUUGUGACUCUAAGCUUUCUAAAGUCAAUACAAGGAGGANCUAAGCCUUCCAAAGUCAAUACAAGGAGAUUUGGGAUUGUUAUUGCUACAUAACAAUCAAGGUAAUAUUAUAAACCUAUUCUCAUGUUAAUAUGAUUACUUGUAUGCUAGAAUUAGGGUUUAUAGUCUUGGAUAACUUGCAUGUACAAUAGAGAAACCUAGAUCCAAGCAUUAGGGUUUGUAUGAGCACAUAGGAUGUUCUUGUGACCAAAACCCAUCAGUGGUAUCAGAGCCUAGACUGGUUUCUAUUGUAUUGAUGCAUUAUAUGGUUGAAAAAUUCAAUUUUUUGGUGUUUUGGAGGCUGGACUCGCGAGUCCAUGCUGACUCGACGAGUCCAUGCUUGACUCGACGAGUCAACUCGUCAGAUGGAGCAUAUCUUGGGAUUUCUUGCUGUUUUUGCUUUGGGAUAGUUACCUUAUCAUAUUAGAUCAAUAUAAAUCCGAUUUUAUGAUAUAUUUGACUAUAUUCCUGAUCUAAUUGAAGAUAUUUAUCAAUUAAUAAGAUAAUUGUUUCCUUAUAAGAUAAUUGAUUAAUUAUUUUGAGUAAAUUGAUAAAUUGUUUUGCAAGAAAUCAUUAAACAAAUCAAAUAUGGAUAAUUAUGUAAUUAAAUGUUAGUUUAGAUUAUUUGUUAUUUGAUCCUUGUUGUUAUGAAAAGUUUCAUAUUUUUCCCUUUAGGUUUUAUAUUUUAAAUUUGAACACAAAGGUUUUGUUGUUUUGAAAUUUAAAUGGUUAAAACCUUAAUGUUUUGAAAAGGGUUUCAAAACAUGCCCUCAAGUUUUAGAAUUUAAAUUUUGAUUAAUAGUUUAAUUGUGAUGUAUAUUUAAAUUCUAAACCCUAAUGUUUUGAAAUGUUUCAAAACUUGCCCUCAAGUUUUGGAAUUUAAAAGUUGAUUAAAAGUUUAAUUAGGAAUGUUAAAUUCUAAAACCCUAGUAAUGUUUUGAAAAGUUCAAUUCACACAUUUAUGGUUUUAUUAAUUAAUUAAGGUGUAUAAUUAAAAGAGGUUUAAUAAAUCCAUAAAAGUUUAGGUUUACAAUUUAAUUGAAUUAAAAGUAUAAUUGUUAAAUUUGACCACCUAGUAUUUUAAAAGUGUAAAAUACA
rnacentral:lncRNA from 1 species